rnacentral:miRNA from 1 species
CGGUGGAAAUUGUUCGGUUGUG